rnacentral:snRNA from 1 species
UCAAUAAGCGGAGGAAAA